rfam:Astyanax mexicanus Tnplaced_Scaffold2523, whole genome shotgun sequence.
GUACUUCAUUAAUGUAAGUCGCUUUGGACAAAAGCGUCUGCCAAAUGAAAUGUA